UACGUAGGGGGCAAGCGUUGUCCGGAUUUAUUGGGCGUAAAGAGCGUGUAGGCGGCCAAGCAGGUCCGCUGUGAAAACUCGAGGCUCAACCUCGAGACGUCGGUGGAAACCGUUUGGCUAGAGUCCGGAAGAGGAGAGUGGAAUUCCCGGUGUAGCGGUGAAAUGCGCAGAUAUCAGGAGGAACACCUAUUGCGAAGGCAGCUCGCUGGGACGUAACUGACGCUGAGACGCGAAAGCGUGGGGAGCAAACAGG
rnacentral:rRNA from 1 species